rnacentral:rRNA from 1 species
AUUGAACGCUGGCGGCAUGCCUAACACAUGCAAGUCGAACGGUAACAGCAGAGCUUGCUCUGGCUGACGAGUGGCGGACGGGUGAGUAAUGCAUAGGAAUUUGCCCUAUAGUGGGGGACAACCUGGGGAAACUCAGGCUAAUACCGCAUAAUCUCUACGGAGGAAAGCCUUCGGGCGCUAUUGGAUGAGCCUAUGUCUGAUUAGCUUGUUGGUAGGGUAAAAGCCUACCAAGGCGACGAUCAGUAGCUGGUCUGAGAGGACGAUCAGCCACACUGGGACUGAGACACGGCCCAGACUCCUACGGGAGGCAGCAGUGGGGAAUAUUGGACAAUGGGCGAAAGCCUGAUCCAGCAAUGCCGCGUGUGUGAAGAAGGCCUGCGGGUUGUAAAGCACUUUCAGUAGGGAAGAUAAUGACGGUACCUACAGAAGAAGCACCGGCUAACUCCG